GAAGGUGUUGUAAAUUGUUCUUGAAAAGUUCAAAACAGUUGGUUCUUCUACUUGAAUACUUGAUUCCGUAUUAGCAACUAUGUUUUACAAUCGUUGUAAAAGUGUGGCUAAUAAGAAGUAGAAGAUUUAUGAGAGAAGAGAAAGUACUUCACAUUCGACCACGUGAAUCAAAUGUAGAUCUCUGUGAAAGCAGAUGGUACUUACUUCCUCAUAUGAACUACCAAAGAAAUUGGAAAAACAUAGAUUGUCUUUAUAUUC
rnacentral:lncRNA from 1 species